rnacentral:rRNA from 1 species
GAUGAACGCUGGCGGCGUGCUUAACACAUGCAAGUCGAACGGUAAGGCCCUUCGGGGUACACGAGUGGCGAACGGGUGAGUAACACGUGGGUGAUCUGCCCUGCGCUUCGGGAUAAGCCUGGGAAACUGGGUCUAAUACCGGAUAGGACUCCGGACUGCAUGGUCUGGGGUGGAAAGCUUUUGCGGUGUGGGAUGGGCCCGCGGCCUAUCAGCUUGGUGGUGGGGGGAUGGCCUACCAAGGCGACGACGGGUAGCCGGCCUGAGAGGGGGACCGGCCACACUGGGACUGGGAUACGGCCCAGACUCCUACGGGGGGCAGCAGUGGGGAAUAUUGCACAAUGGGCGCAAGCCUGAUGCAGCGACGCCGCGUGAGGGAUGACGGCCUUCGGGUUGUAAACCUCUUUCAGCAUCGACGAAGCGAAAGUGACGGUAGGUGCAGAAGAAGGACCGGCCAACUACGUGCCAGCAGCCGCAGUAA